AGACGGCAGCCCCACUUUAGCACGGCCACCUCCUGAUGAUGACAGUAAACAUGGAAUACAGUCUCCAAAAUGGGCCCGGACAACACAGGAAUGCACAAGAUGAGGAGGAGGCUCUCAACUCCAUCAUGAAGGAUCUGGCAGCACUGCGCUGCUACCAGCUUGGUAGCAACAACAGC